GGUUGCUCAGUGGUUAAGUGUUUGGCUGCUAACCAAAAGGUUGGAGGUUCAAACCCACCAGCCU
rnacentral:tRNA from 1 species